rnacentral:rRNA from 1 species
CGAAGGGGCUAGCGUUGUUCGGAAUUACUGGGCGUAAAGCGAGUGUAGGUGGUUGUCGUAGUCAGGCGUGAAAGCCUUGAGCUCAACUCAAGAAAUGCGCUUGAUACUGGGCAGCUAGAGGACCGGAGAGGAUAGUGGAAUUCCCAGUGUAGUGGUGAAAUACGUAGAGAUUGGGAAGAACACCAGUGGCGAAGGCGGCUAUCUGGACGGUUUCUGACACUAAGACUCGAAAGCGUGGGGAGCAAACAGGAUU